rnacentral:rRNA from 1 species
UCUCGAAAGGGAGAUUAAUNCCGCAUAAUAUAUUUUGUUCGCAUGAACGAGAUAUUAAAGAUUUAUUNCUUCUAGAUGGGCCCGCGGCGCAUUAGCUAGUUGGAGAGGUAACGGCUCACCAAGGCGACGAUGCGUAGCCGACCUGAGAGGGUGAUCGGCCACAUUGGAACUGAGACACGGUCCAGACUCCUACGGGAGGCAGCAGUGGGGAAUAUUGCGCAAUGGGGGAAACCCUGACGCAGCAACGCCGCGUGAGUGAUGAAGGUUUUCGGAUUGUAAAGCUCUGUCUUUAGGGACGAUAAUGACGGUACCUAAGGAGGAAGCCACGGCUGACUACGUGCCAGCAGCCGCGGUAAUACGUAGGUGGCAAGCGUUGUCCGGAUUUACCGGGCGUAAAGAGUAUGUAGGCGGAUAUUUAAGUCAGAUGUGAAAUCCCCGGGCUCAACCCGGGGGCUGCAUUUGAUACUGGAUGUCUGGAGUGCAGGAGAGGAAAGUGGAAUUCCUAGUGUAGCGGUGAAAUGCGUAGAUAUUAGGAAGAACACCAGUGGCGAAGGCGACUUUCUGGACUGUAACUGACGCUGAGAUACGAAAGCGUGGGGAGCGAACAGGAUUAGAUACCCUGGUAGUCCAGCGCCGUAAACGAUGAAUACUAGGUGUCAGGGGGUACCACCCCUGGUGCCGCAGCUAACGCAUUAAGUAUCCGCCUG